UGCCGAAACGAGUCUUGACAAGUGA
rnacentral:piRNA from 1 species